GAUGAACCUGCUCAUCGCGGAGGCUGAGCUCGCGGCGGCGGAGAUUGAGCGCGACCUCGCCGAGGCUCGCGCGUUUUUCGAGGGCGAGCUGGAGGAGGACGUGUCCGACAUCGAGGAGAGGCUGGAGCGCGACCCGCCGAGGCCGUCCAGCAGAUCCGCGGACGCCGUCCAGGAGGUGGUGUCAACGCGCCGCGGCCGCGCCAACACCGCCCGAAGAGACGCCGUGGACGCGUCUGGAUCGGCGAGGGACGCGAACGCCUCGGCGAGAAACGCGAGC
rnacentral:lncRNA from 1 species